UUGAUGGCCAUGGCAAAGUCUAUUACCUUC
rnacentral:piRNA from 1 species